UGUGAGAACACAUGGAAAUGAUGCAGAAACAGGACACUGCUGGGGAAGAAAAGCAUCUCACGUCCUGCACGGAGGUGGACACUGAGUGAACCCCCUCAGAGAGGGCGACCUCGCCGGCGGUGCAGGAGACUUCAGGCAAAGGCGCUGGUUACCAUAAACCAGACAGAGGAUGAAGGAGUCACUCGCCAGUCACAACAUGAAGUACACUGUGACAAAUAUAUGGGAGCUGCAACAGGAGGUUCUAAUUCUGAAUAUUCCCCCUUUUUUUUUUUACUUUUGUUGUUCAGAAAACAGCAAGUGAAACAUUGAACAGUUGGACAUUUAGAAACCGUAACAUUUAUUUCACCUGUGAAGGUUAAAGUGCAUUUUAUGUUCAUCCCAAAAUUUCGCCGCAUGGUCAAAUAGGUCAACAUUUUCUGAGUGUUGUCACGAUACUAAU